rnacentral:lncRNA from 1 species
AAGGAUUUUAUCGUGGUUCACCCCAAGGUUUGGGCUACGUCCACACUGAUUGUAUUUUAUUUCUCUGUUGAAGAGGGAGAGAGAGCUUAGGGGAUGUGAGGAGCUUUGAGAGGGGGUGAGAGGCUUCAGAAAUGGCCUCUGAUGGUGAGAAUGAGUCUCUCCUAGAAUGAGGGUAGGAGUCCCCUUUUAUAGAAUAAGGGGCUCCUCCUCUUUUACAAAGUAUGGGCUUUAGUGUGAGGCCCAAAUACAAGGCCCAAGGCCCAAAUAUACGAGGCCCUAAAUAUGGUAUAAACAGUAGUCCCCCAAGUCUUCAGUCAAGAGAGUCUUUUGGCUGGAGACUUGAAAUUCAGUCCAUGUGUGGGCCGAAGUAACUGAUGCUCGAUAUGAGGCGGUGCCCAAUCUGAAAUGAUGCUCAACUA